GGAGGGCAAAGUCUGGUGCCAGCAGCCGCGGUAAUUCCAGCUCCACUAGCGUAAAAUAUUACUGCUGCGGUUAAAAAGCUCGUAGUUGAAUCUAGUCGUGUCCGUUGGGUUUGUCGUUGGCGUUUAUUCGUCUCUGGCGUUAAUUCACGGCCGAUUUUUGCUGGUUUGCUGUUGGUCUUCGGAUCUUCGGUGGCUAGCGAGUUACUUUGAUCAAAUCAGAGUGCUCAAAACAGGCGAAAGCUUGUAUGAUUUCUCGAGGAAUAACAGAAGAGGACUUCGGUUCUAUUUGUUGGUUCCAGAAUCGUUUACUGGUUAAGAGGGACAAUUCGGGGGCAAACGUAUCCUCGCGCGAGGGGUGAAAUUCUUGGACCGUAGAGAGACGCCCUACUGCGAAAGCAUUUGCCAA
rnacentral:rRNA from 1 species